AAUGCACCAUUAAGCUGGAUGCCAACUGCUGUAAAACAAGAUACAGACAGACAGACAGCUUUCUCCCUCUUAACCUCACUUUCUUUUAUUUGUUUUAUAGAAGUCAGGUAGUGUUUGCAUUUUCUUCUGGAGCAGGAUACCGAGUAUUUGGUAAAGAUAUAAAGCGACUGUGGCCUGCAGUGAAUCACCAUGGAACGAAGGCCUUGGUCAACAGUGCUCUCUGUUUAAAGAUGACGAUCCAAUCAUCUUGUACAAUUCCAGGAGCUCUGCCAGCAUUCCCUCUCCCAAGACGGGCAAUUGCACUGCUAUAGCUGCAAGGCAGUGGCACAUUGGAAUGCGAGCGACGUCCUGGGCAGUAUGUAGUUGGGUCAGCAGAGAUUCAACAACAGGCUGGCUCAGGUGAGGGCAACGACACAUCAGCUUCACCAUGCAGGUGCUUUUAUAAAUGGCAAGCUCGGCCAGAUGCAGAGAAACAGAACAGAUGGAGCACCUUCCCAGGAUUGUUUAUGCCCUCUGAUGGCCAAUUUACAGUAGAACGAUUAAUGCAGAAAAUAAACUAGCACCUAAUUCAGCUACAAUUAGUGGUGGCUGAUUAACAGAUUUACAAGAGAUGUGUGUCUUCAACAACAGAGUAAUGAGAGGUGAUUCCAGGUUUGUAUUUAAGGUUCAACAACAUAGAAACCGCUUACUACCAGUUUGUUCAUAUACUGGAUCUAAAUUUAUUACCCACAGAACAUAAUGGUACCGCACAGGAACGGACCCUUUGAUACCAAAUUUAUCUGCCUGCACAUGGCUAAUAUUCCUCUACCCCUUGCCUGUUCAUGUUCUUGUCUUUUAAAUGUUGCUUUCAUAUCUGUGCUACCACUUCUCUUAGCAGUGCACUACAAGCACCUACCAUUUGGUACAUAAAUGAAAUUUGGUAUGUAAUUUUCCUUUAAAUGUUCCCCAUCUCACCUUUAAGCUAAGCCCUCUAGUAUUCGACAUUUACAUCCUGGGAGAAAAAGACUGAAUAUUUAUCCUAUCCAACCGCUCAUAAUUUCAUAAACAUCAGAUCACCCCACUGUUUCCAACACUCCAGAGAAAUCAAUCAAGUGUGUCCAACUUCUUGUAGUGCAUUCUCUCUAACCCAGGCAACAUCCUGGUGAACCUCAUCUGCAUCCUCUCCAAAGCUUCGACAUUUCUCCUUCAAUGCCGCAACUAGAACUGCAACACUCUGAACGUGGCCAGAAAAACUCUAAUUCAGCUGCAACAUGACUUUCCUACUUUUAUCAUCAACACCCUGACUGACGAAGACAAGUAUGACAUUCAUCUUUACCAUCCCAGCUACUUGUAUUGCAGCUUGCAAGGAGCUCUGGACUUGCACUCAAGAUUUAUCAAAUCUAAGGGUCCUGCCUUUUAUUUCCCUUUACACUUUGCCUCCUAAAGUGCAACACCUCACAUUGGUCUGGA